rnacentral:rRNA from 1 species
CCUACGGGUGGCAGCAGUGGGGAAUAUUGCUCAAUGGGGGAAACCCUAACGCAGCAACGCCGCGUGAGUGAGGAAGUAUCUCGGUAUGUUAAGCUCUAUCUGUGAGGAAGAAAGAGGACGGUACCCGACUAAGAAGCCCCUGCUAACUACGUGCCAGCAGCCGCGGUGAUACGUAGGGGGCGCGCUUUAGCCGGAUUUACUGGGUGUAAAGGGAGCGUAGACGGCGUCGCAAGUCUGAAGUGAAAUCUCGUGGCUCAACCGCGGAACCGCUGUUGAAACUGCGAGGCUGGAGUGCUGGAGAGGUAAGCGGAAUGCGUGGUGUAGCGGUGAAAUGCGUAGAUAUCAGGAGGAACACCGGUGGCGAAGGCGGCUUACUGGACAGUGACUGACGUUGAGGCUCGAAAGCGUGGGGAGCGAACAGGAUUAGAUACCCCGGGAGUC